CUGAUGACGACGAAUGGGAUGACUAAAUCAGAUAAAAAAUUAAUUAAAAAGCUAAUAACAUAUUACUGUGAUAAAUACGUUAUUAAUAAAGAUAUUAACAAAGUUAUUUACAAAUA